CCUAAAAACACAUAUGUGAUUCCAACAGUAACUAAAAAUGUAUGCUUCUUUGAAAAGCUCCUUGGCCAAGCACCAAAGCAAAUGAUUCUGAUCAACAGGGACACAGGAGUAAGAUUGAAAGCACACUGCAGUGAGCUAUAGAUAAGUGUAGCAACAGAGCAGCAAGAGAAUAGAUGAUCUCCACUUUCAUCUUGACCACAAAAUGUGCAAGCCUUAGUACCCAUCCAUCCCCUCCUCAGCUGGCUAUCUUUGGUCAGAAUACUGUUUUAGUCCUAUUGCAAAAAAAAAAGAAUACUGUCUUAGUCAUCAGCCAAAUGAAAACCAUCUGUUGGAGGAACCUCCAUAUGAAUAUUGUUCAUCGCUGGAGGGACCUCCUCCAUAUGAAUUGUUGCGCGAAGUUAGCAGUUGUUCAAUAUCAUUUUCUGAUAAAGAGAUUUGACUGUGAAUUUACCACUUGUGGUAAGCGUCCACCUCGCAGUGUCCCUUUGAUCAUUUAAAACAACAUCCGCACAAUCAUCUUUUAUACACUUUCCAAAAGCAUCAAAGAAUCACCCCCAAAGAGUUCUUCGAAAAUUGACACCAUCCCAGCCUUUCCAAACGUAUAUUGUAUAACCUUAAUUGAGAUUGGCACAACAGGUUUUAGACCCUACCCAACAAUCAUCCCAAAACCUGGUGUUUCUACCGUUCCCCACAAUCUUCUUGCAAUUUGGAUAAAACAAAUGUUUUGAACACUUCUCAUGCUGAACCAGACAUACAUGUUUGGAAUCCCCAACUCUGAUGAACUCCAGACAUACAUGCAUUCUUGGCAUAUUUGUUAAGUAGAACACCAAGGCCUCCUUGCCUUUUAGGUCUACAAACACUCGUCCAAUUAACUAAGUGAUAUUUCUUUUUAUUUGUCAUCAUCUUGCCAUAUACUACCUCCGUCCGGGUUUAUUAGCCCCCUUGUAUUUUGUGUUAAACUUUGACUGUAAAUUUGAUUAAUAAAAUAUAGGUUUUCUGUAGUAAAAAUAAUACCAUUCAAAACUACUUUCAAAUACGAAUCUAGUAAUAUACAUUUUAUAAUAUUUAACUUAAUUUUGCUAGUUAAAUUAAUGGUCAAUUUUUGGCACAAAACACAAAGGGGACUUGUAGACCCGGAUGGAGGUAGUACCGUUCUAGCUCUAAAGAAGCCAGAUCUCUUCCUAACACCCACAGGAAUGGGGUAGAAGGGCAGCAUGUACAGGGGCUUGUUACUAAGACAUGAUUGUACCAAGGUCAAUCUACCCUGCCAGUAAUAUUAAUCAUGUACAGUGGCAUGCUACUAAGACAUGCUUGUACCAAGGUCAAUCUACCCCACCAGAAAUAUUAAGCAUUUUGCCCUGUCAGCAAACACAUGUGCUUUCUAUCUUGUGUUCUACUCCCUCUGUAAAGAAAUAUAAUCUAAACACUCUUAUAUUUCUUUACGGAGGGAGUACAUGAUUUGAAUGCUUGUUCUCAGUAUUAGUAAUUUGUUGAGUGGUGGUAGGCUGGUAGCUACGAUAUGAUCAAUGUGUAAUCCAAGUUAACGACUGGAUGCUGUGAACUGAACUUGAAGGCCUACGUGACCCAAGACAACGUGCUGAUGUCGACGAUGUCGGUGCGGGAGGCCGUCUACUACUCGGCGCAGCUGCAGCUGCCGGGGAGCAUGCCGGCGGUGGAGAAGCGGGCGCACGCGGACGCCGUGAUCCGGGAGAUGGGGCUGGGCGACGCCAUGGACACGCGCAUCGGCGGGCGGAUGACCAAGGGCAUCAGCGGCGGGCAGCGGAAGCGGGUCACCAUCUGCAUCGAGAUGCUCACCCGACCCCGGCUGCUCUUCCUCGACGAGCCCACCAGCGGGCUCGACAGCGCCGCCUCCUACCACGUCAUGAGCCACAUCGCCAGGGUCGCCGCAAGGGAGGGCAUGACUGUCGUCGCCGCCGUGCACCAGCCCAGCGGCGACGUCUUCGACCUCUUCCACCGCCUCUGCCUCCUCGCCUACGGUCGGACCGUCUUCUUCGGACCCGCCUCCGACGCCAAUCAGGUGAUUACACUACAUUGCAAAUGACAAAUCCCUCUUUUCUCCAUGAAAAUGUUGAGUUUGGUGUUCAUUACCUGUGCUAGUUCUUCACUGAAAGUGGCUUCCCAUGCCCACACCUG
rnacentral:lncRNA from 1 species